CAGUCGCCGCGGGAAUACGUAGGUGGCGAGCGUUGUCCGGAAUUAUUGGGCGUAAAGGGAGCGCAGGCGGACAUAUAAGUCCAUCUUAAAAGUGCGGGGCUCAACCCCGUGAGGGGAUGGAAACUGUAUGCCUUGAGUGCAGGAGAGGAAAGCGGAAUUCCCAGUGUAGCGGUGAAAUGCGUAGAUAUUGGGAGGAACACCAGUGGCGAAGGCGGCUUUCUGGACUGUAACUGACGCUGAGGCUCGAAAGCCAAGGGGAGCGAACGGGAUUAGAUACCCCAGUAGUCCCUGUCUCUUAUAC
rnacentral:rRNA from 1 species